CUCGUGCCGUUUCGUCUGUGUCCUUUUGCUGAACUCUGUUAGGCUUCGUCGCAGUUGACCCAAGUCGUUCCCGUAAUGCGGCUUAGAAGGGAUCAGUCCCAGUAAACAUAUACAUCGCAGUGAAGAGCUUCACUCAAUCUGAUAUAUUUACAGCUCACUGAACCCACUUUACUCGCUGCCGCCUUGGACGUCCACUGCUUGUGUCAGACUUGGCUGAUUUCCUUCCUUUCAACGAGCCGACGCAGAACUCAUAUGGCGACAUGCUGCGGCGGAAUUCCAAGUGCCUCCUGGGCUGACUGAAUAGGAGAUUGUGCCGACGUAUGUCAUAAGUCGUCCGCGGAAAAUCCAGGAAAACACCGAAGACAAGCACGAGAUGAUAUCAUGAGUUGGACCUAUACGUCACUUCCCAGUUUCAGGGAUCAUCUCUGCCACGCUCUUUCUCUUCAGUAGACCACACAUACAUGGGAUGAUGACGUGGUUGGACCAUUCACAGCCGCUAAUGCGGUGCACUGACCCAUUGCUUUUGUGGAGGGGAUGAGAGAGUGGUGACUAUAACAAAAAGUGUCCCGUUAGAGCUUUUAGACCAGUACACCCGUUUGUAUUCUGAGUUCGGACUUUAAAAUGCACGGAGCUA